rnacentral:tRNA from 2 species
CCAAGUGGAUCAAGGCAGUG